rnacentral:lncRNA from 1 species
UGGGACAUCAACCAAAAGCACCAACAUGACCUAUUACCUCAUUCAAACUUGCUCGGGCCAUAAAAAAACCAACACUAAUAUAAAAAAUCAUCAAAUUCCAGCCUAAAUCAAACUAGAACUUUCUAAAUUCGCAUUCGAUCCAAAACCCGACCUAAAUAAUUCCGAAAGAUCUGAAAAUUUGCACACAUAUCCAAAAUUACCUAACGGAGCUACUGCAACUGUAGGAAUUCCAUUCUGAUCCCCGGUUCAAAAACUCACCUAUCAACCGGAAUUUGCCAAAAAUUCAAACUUUGCCAAUUCAAGCCUAAUUCUACACUGGACCUCCAAAUGCACUUUUGUUUUCAUUCCUAAGUCAUAAAUCAUCCCCCGAAACUAGUCGAAUCAUCAGAAAUCCAUUCCGAUCCCUCUAACACACAAGUCAAUGUCCGGUUGACGUUCCAACUUAAGCUUUACUUAAAGAGACUAUUGGUCUCACUUCUAACCAAAUUCAAUCCAACACAUCUCAAACUCACCAAACACAUAUAUCGACACAGGGGGAAGUAUAUUACACGGAUAGGGCUGAAAUACAAAAUAUGACGGGCCGGGUCGUCACAAGGUGGCCUCAAGUGGAUGAGAAGCUGCUGAAGGCGAGGCUCAGGUGGUCCGGGCAUGUGCGGAGGAGAAGCCCCAGUGAGGAGUUGUGAGCGGUUGGAGGUGGUUGGUACGAGUCGAGGUAGAGGGAGGCCAAAGAAGAAUUGGGGAGAGCUGAUUAGGCAUGACAUGGCUAGUAUGCGAAUUUCCGAGGAUAUGACCCUUGAUAGGAGAGUCUGGAGGUCUAGUAUCAGGGUUGUAUGAUAGGGGCUUUCAGUUAGUGGUCGUUGUUACUGCAUUCCAUUUUUAUUUACUGAAUGUGGCUAAAUUAAUACUUGUAGAUGCCCUUUUACUUUUGUUUUUGAUUACCUUUGUCAUUUGCAUGUCAUGUUACUUAUGAUCUAUGUUUACGUGAUUAUGUAUCGUGAUUUCUGCUGGG